UAUGGUCAUAUCAGAUUAAAACAUUGGUUCCUGUACGAUCACUGAAGUUAAGCAACAUCAAGCCUGGUUUGUGCCUGGAUAGAUGACCACUUGGGAAUACCAGAUGCUGUAA